rnacentral:rRNA from 1 species
AUUGAACGCUGGCGGCAGGCCUAACACAUGCAAGUCGAACGAGUGGCGGACGGGUGAGUAAUGUAUGGGAAACUGCCUGAUGGAGGGGGAUAACUACUGGAAAAGGUAGCUAAUACCGCAUACCAUCGGAUGUGCCCAGAUGGGUUUAGCUAGUGGGGGGGGUAAAGGCUCACCUAGGCGACGAUCCGUAGCUGGUCUGAGAGGAUGACCAGCCACACUGGAACUGAGACACGGGCAAGACUCCUACGGGAGGCAGCAGGGGGGAAUAUUGCACAAUGGGCGCAAGCAUGAUGCAGCCAUGCCGCGUGUAUGAAGAAGGCCUUCGGGUUGUAAAGUACUUUCAGCGGGGAGGCGUUACCCGCAGAAGAAGCACCGGCUAACUCCGUGCCAGCAGCCGCGGUAAUAC